rnacentral:misc_RNA from 1 species
GAUGAAGAACGUAGCGAAAUGUGAUAAGUAAUGUGAAUUGCAGAAUUCAGUGAAUCAUCGAAUCUUUGAACGCACAUUGCGCCCCUUGGUAUUCCGAGGGGCAUGCCUGUUCGAGCGUCAUAUUAACCACUCCCGCUUGCGGGGUCUUGGGCUUCGCCUCCGGGCGGGCCUUAAAAUCAGUGGCGGUGCCGUCGGGCUCUACGCGUAGUAAAUUUUCUCGCGAUAGGGUCCCGGUGGAUGCUUGCCAACAACCCCCAACUUCUUAAGGUUGACCUCGGAUCAGGUAGGGAUACCCGCUGAACUUAAGCAUAUCAAUAAGCGGAGGA